UGUUUUUGUUCAUGCUAUACUAGCAGUGUGAAACUUGCAGUGUGUCUAGUGAUUCUUUGAUAGUGCUAGUUCAGUUGGAUUUUUCAUUUCUUCUUGCACUGGGAUUUCCCUAUAAGCCACGUGAGUUACUGUUGCAUUUGUCAGUUUGUUUUACACUUUGUCUACUUACUUUAUAUAUUCUUUCCCAUUUACUGAAAUUUUGGCUUGUUUGAUUUUCUGGAUAGAUGUACCGAUAAUUCACCCUGUUUGCAUAUUUGUGUUUUGCAGAGUCAACUGAAGGCUAAGUGGGAAGAGUGGAAGAAAUUGCUUGAGAAGGCAAGAAAUGACGCUGAGAAGAAAUAUGAUGAAAUAAAUGAGCAGAAUAAAAUACUUCAUAGCCAUCUUGAAGCUUUGCAUAUUCGGAAGGCAAAGAAGGAGCGCAAUGCUGCUAGUAUAUCAUUUGGAAGUAGUAGUGCAGAUACAUUUGGUGAUGCUGGUCUUCAAACUGUGAUGACUUGUCUCCGGAAUUCAAAAGAAAUUGUAAAUACUUGUCAUGUGCUGCAAAUUUGUUUCGCUUGUAUAUUUGUAUAUUCAUUUUAAGUUCUCUACUUUCACAGUCAGAAACAGAAGUGUCAGCUUUGAUAUUAUUAGUAGUAAAUUUUAAGUGAUAUUAUGGUUA